rnacentral:lncRNA from 1 species
GGACGUGCAUCCUCCUUUUUGCUUGAAGGAUUUUCUCAAGAGCUAAGUUGAAGAAGCGCCUUGACUGUACUUGAUAAGUCACAGGCCUCUGCUUAUUAGCCAUGUAUGAUCUUGUUGUAAGGUCUCUUCAGAUGGACGUUAACAUCAAUGCCAGGAUAAAUUUAAAGCUAUGAAGCAGGCUGUCUCUAUGCAUGUGGGUGUUUCUUGAUUUGGUGAGGUUUUACCUCCUUUCAGGAUUUGGUCAGAAAUGACUUGCAAUUUGGUUCAACUCUGUGCAUAUUGAUUUGUUCAUGGUGGCUUGGUUGAUAUGUUAUGGCUUGUAUAUUUAUACUUGCUUAUAUUAAGCCUUAGGAAUUGGGAUUAUCUGUGAUGUAAAAUCAGGUUCUGACGUCUUACAACUGAGGAAUUUCGGUUCUGUUUAGCUGAGAGGUUCUGCCCUGCUGUUUUUAGCUCUUACCCUGUAAUGAAGCACAGCUGCAGGGAACUCAACUGUCUAUACGCAUAUGCACCACUAUAAUUUCACUAUACAUUAGGAUGCUUAUAGUCUGGUGAAAUUGUGUCACAUUUGUGCUCUUGAUUGGCUUAGACAGCCACUUUCCGGAUUGUUCAGCAUGAUACCAAAAGCAGGUGCAAAUGGAAUAGGGGACCCAAUUGCGGUCACUUAAAGCAAUUCAUUCUCUCAUAUGGGAAAACGUUUUGUGCCUUUCCAGACAUUGUAAGGUACCUGAUACCUUUUGAACCCCUUAAUCUAAUGACUCAAUUCGGUAAAAUUUGAAGGAGUGUGCAACAGUAAUUUAUCUAUUUAUGUUUUCUUAGAUCUUCAAUCUUAAACUAAAGGAGGCAAAUUGCCAUAUAGACCUCUUAUAAUUUCUAAGAGAACUCUGUACUGGAGAAACACCUCUGAGGCUAAAGUGCCUUGGGCGUAGGGAGGUAUGAUGAUAUAGGAGGUAGUUUAUGGAAGAUUUGUAUCAUAACUCACAAAAUAAAUUUUAUGGGAGAAUGCUUUCUUCAUCGUUCUAUUAACAGUAGUUUUGUGUCGUUUUGGUAAUUGAAAUUUUGGACGCAUUUUGUCAGUAGCUGUAAAUUUUUUUUUUUCUUUUUUUCUACAAAAAAUGGGAAGGGUAGAAGUGGCCCAAUGACUACUUUAUCUGAUCGAUUUCACAAAAUUUAUGAUUUAUUUUUUAAAGAAUGAUUUUGUUACGCGGUAAAGCAAGAUGGAAGAUUUGCC